UACGUAGGGGGCAAGCGUUGUCCGGAUUUAUUGGGCGUAAAGAGCUCGUAGGCGGUUUGGUAAGUCGGGUGUGAAAUCUCCACGCUCAACGUGGAGGGGCCACUCGAUACUGCCAUGACUCGAGUCCGGUAGAGGAGUGUGGAAUUCCCGGUGUAGUGGUGAAAUGCGUAGAGAUCGGGAGGAACACCCGUGGCGAAGGCGGCCAGCUGGGAUACACCUGACACUGAGGCGCGAAGGCGUGGGGAGCGAACGGG
rnacentral:rRNA from 1 species